UUUUUCUCAGUUCUCCAGAAUUCCAAAUAUUAGGUUUGGAUUACAACUUGGAGAUAACUCCUCCUUAACAGUGUUCCUAAUCUGAAUGCAUACUAAUUUACCAACAUCCUUCAAGACACCACCAACAACAAAGGCAUCACCUGGGGAGAGGAGACACUGAUGGCACAUUUGAAAAAUCUCAAGAAGUGCAUCCCUGGAACUAAAAAGUGAUCUUCCCUGGCAUUGAGAAGACAAGGCAAAGAACAGGUGAUCUCUCUUACUUUCUUAAUUGCUUGUUCAGAAGGAGGCCAGCUGCCAUAUUUUCAGCUAACCUAUCCAGAAGAUCUACAUGGCACCAAAUAAACUGAGGAAGGCCCCCAGCUAAUGGACAGCAAAGACCUGAUGUCCACCAGCAGUCAUGUGAUUGACUUUGCAAAUGUAUCUCCUGAGGCCCAUCAAGAACCAGGCACUGAACCUGCACGUUUUCCAAAAAUUAUCUUGCACAAGAGUGUGUGCCUCCUCUCACUCAUUCUGAGUUAUCUUCCAGAACAACAAUAUGUUCUUUGCAAAGGAAGGGUUAAGUACUGUCAAACUUCUCCAACUUCCAAGGGUAGGCAGAGCUUGCAUGUAAAUCCUGAGGAUGAACAACAGGUGGAAUGUGGGAGAGAAAAGACAUACUCUGCUUGGAUCUCCAUCUCCAAAAGAAAUCCCUGAUCCCCUAAUGAGUCAAAUGCAGAAUCAACUGGCUUUGCUUGGGACCAUGAAGUCCAUUAUGAUUCUAAGAUAAAGUGAGCUUAAUUUCUGCAUGAGAGAUAGGAACAGCCUGGGGAUUCUCAGCAGUAAGACUAUAAAACUCUCUGACAGUGACCAUGCUGCAAAGAAAACAACACUUUGGUUUCCCUUUACUGGAUUAAAGAAACUCUUGGGAUUUCCCUCAAUAUCUGGAUGGCUGAUGCCACACCAGAGAAACAACAUGCAUCUCACUGCCCAGACCACUCUUGCAGUAGUAUUGUUUUAAUAGCAUGCAUUUUGAAUGUUUCUUCUCUGUAUGCUUAGUGUUUUAGUCAAACCUCUAUAAUCUGAAUACAUUUUUACCAUAAAUGUUUGUGUAUAUGUGUUUAUCUCAGGUAAGGGACUGUAAACUCUCAGGCAGGGACUACCUCUCACUUAUUCUAUUGCUGACAGCUAUUCUUUUCCAUAUAUACAAUAGGGAUCCAAUAUUUCUGUUCAGUGAAUACAUAAAUAAAUGGCUAUAGAAUAUAGGCACAAAUACCUCUAUAGAGAAAUAUUUAUUUAUAAAUUUAUAUUCUUUACACAUAUUAUUCUUUACACAGUUGAUAAUAUUCUUUUAUUUAGUAAUGUUUCUUUAUUUUCAGAAAGUUUUAAGUGGGUGAUAGUUUAGAUCCAAUAUAAUCAGUGCAAAUAUAUAUAAUUGGAGAAGAGAGAUCAUAUAACUAUUAAAUAUUCUCACAGAGGUUUUAUAAAUAUGACAGGGAUAAUAUUUGCACAUUUGCUUAAAUGCAAAUGACAGCACAUUCUAUGCCUUUGAAUUACUGACAAAAUGUAAACUUAAAAAGAUUCACAAAUCAUCUACUAUCAAAGUUAGAGGUGAUAUAAACACAAUCAAUUCAAGAUGAUUGUUUUCAGGCCAAAAACAAAAAAAAACAAAAAAAAUCUACAAAAAACCCACACAAACGGAUAAAUAGAAUAAGGUGUAGGUACCAGCAGUCUCAAAUUUACAGGCAUAUGUAAAUAUUUUUAAAGUUUCAGGAAGAGUGUUGUUAAUUAUCCAGGAAUUACCAACUGAGUCACUUC